ACGUUUCAGUUAUAAUCAACGCUCCAAACCCAACGAUGCAGUAUUUUGUCUUGUUAAUUUUGCUUAGCUCUCUGAUGAGCAUUGCUUUGGCCAACAAACUAUUUGUCGAGGACUGCUUUCCAGCUCCAUUUUUUGCAUGUGAACGUUACCGCCCACGUGUUUGGGGCAAUCCAGCUUCCGGUUGCGUUUGCGUUCGUCCUGGUCUCGAUUCGCGUUUCGAUUUAUCAUCUGGUCGUUUUUUCUUUAAAUAACAUUAUAAAUUGUAUUAUAUAUACAUAUAAUCAUUUAUACUCUCGAUUAAAUACUUCAAUAUA